AAAGAUUAAGCCAUGCAUGUCUAAGCACAUGCCUUAAUACGGUGAAGCCGCGAAUAGCUCAUUACAACAGCCAUCGUUUAUUAGAAUAUCGUUAUCUUACUUGGAUAACUGUGGCAAUUCUAGAGCUAAUACAUGCAAUAAAGCUCCGCCCGAAAGGAACGAGCGCAUUUAUUAGAAUAAAAACCAAUCGAGCUUCGGCUCGUAAUUUGGUGAAUCUGAAUAACUUUGCCAAUCGCACAGUCCUAGUACUGGCGAUGUAUCUUUCAAGUGUCUGCCUUAUCAACUUUCGAUGGUACGCUAUACGCCUACCAUGGUAGUAACGGGUAACGGAGAAUAAGGGUUCGACUCCGGAGAGGGAGCCUGAGAAACGGCUACCACAUCCAAGGAAGGCAGCAGGCGCGCAAAUUACCCACUUCCAGAACGGAGAGGUAGUGACGAAAAAUAACGAGACAGUCCUCUUCGAGGUCUGUCAUCGGAAUGGGUACAAGUUAAAUCCUUUAACGAGGAUCUAUUGGAGGGCAAGUCUGGUGCCAGCAGCCGCGGUAAUUCCAGCUCCAAUAGCGUAUAUUAAAGUUGUUGCGGUUAAAACGCUCGUAGUUGGAUCUGCGGCCUCGAAGGACGGCCUCCCGAAAGGGUAGUCACUGUCUCUUCUAGCCUAAAUUCGAGUUGUCUUUAGGUGCUCUUUAUUGAGUGCUUAGAGCGACUAGAACGUUUACUUUGAAAAAAUUAGAGUGCUUAAAGCAGACGAAAUAGUCUGAAUAAGGUGCAUGGAAUAAUGGAAUAGGACCUCGGUUCUAUUUUGUUGGUUUUCGGAGCCUGAGGUAAUGAUUAAGAGGAACAGACGGGGGCAUUCGUAUUUCGGCGCUAGAGGUGAAAUUCUUGGACCGCCGAAAGACGAACGACUGCGAAAGCAUUUGCCAAGAAUG
rnacentral:rRNA from 1 species